UUAAGCGACUAAGCGUACACGGUGGAUGCCCUGGCAGUCAGAGGCGAUGAAGGGCGUGCUAAUCUGCGAUAAGCGCCGGUAAGGUGAUAUGAACCGUUAUAACCGGCGAUACCCGAAUGGGGAAACCCAGUGUGACUCGUCACACUAUCAUUAACUGAAUCCAUAGGUUAAUGAGGCGAACCGGGGGAACUGAAACAUCUAAGUACCCCGAGGAAAAGAAAUCAACCGAGAUUCCCCCAGUAGCGGCGAGCGAACGGGGAGGAGCCCAGAGCCUGAAUCAGCAUGUGUGUUAGUGGAAGCGUCUGGAAAGGCGCGCGAUACAGGGUGACAGCCCCGUACACAAAAGCGCAUGUGCUGUGAGCUCGAUGAGUAGGGCGGGACACGUGGUAUCCUGUCUGAAUAUGGGGGGACCAUCCUCCAAGGCUAAAUACUCCUGACUGACCGAUAGUGAACCAGUACCGUGAGGGAAAGGCGAAAAGAACCCCGGCGAGGGGAGUGAAAAAGAACCUGAAACCGUGUACGUACAAGCAGUGGGAGCCCCACCACUAAGCCAGUGGUGAACUCCACAUACGCAUCCUUUGCUGAAGGCAAUGGUUAACGGAGCGAAAGCGACGUUCAACCGCAAAACAAGCAGAGGGGGCUUAGUGGUGGGGUGACUGCGUACCUUUUGUAUAAUGGGUCAGCGACUUAUAUUCUGUAGCAAGGUUAACCGUAUAGGGGAGCCGGAGGGAAACCGAGUCUUAAUUGGGCGUUAAGUUGCAGGGUAUAGACCCGAAACCCGGUGAUCUAGCCAUGGGCAGGUUGAAGGUUGGGUAACACUAACUGGAGGACCGAACCGACUAAUGUUGAAAAAUUAGCGGAUGACCUGUGGCUGGGGGUGAAAGGCCAAUCAAACCGGGAGAUAGCUGGUUCUCCCCGAAAGCUAUUUAGGUAGCGCCUCGUGAAUUCAUCUCCGGGGGUAGAGCACUGUUUCGGCUAGGGGGCCAUCCCGGCUUACCAACCCGAUGCAAACUGCGAAUACCGGAGAAUGUUAUCACGGGAGACACACGGCGGGUGCUAACGUCCGUCGUGAAGAGGGAAACAACCCAGACCGCCAGCUAAGGUCCCAAAGUCAUGGUUAAGUGGGAAACGAUGUGGGAAGGCCCAGACAGCCAGGAUGUUGGCUUAGAAGCAGCCAUCAUUUAAAGAAAGCGUAAUAGCUCACUGGUCGAGUCGGCCUGCGCGGAAGAUGUAACGGGGCUAAACCAUGCACCGAAGCUGCGGCAGCGACGCUUAUGCGUUGUUGGGUAGGGGAGCGUUCUGUAAGCCUGCGAAGGUGGCCUGUGAGGGUUGCUGGAGGUAUCAGAAGUGCGAAUGCUGACAUAAGUAACGAUAAAGCGGGUGAAAAGCCCGCUCGCCGGAAGACCAAGGGUUCCUGUCCAACGUUAAUCGGGGCAGGGUGAGUCGACCCCUAAGGCGAGGCCGAAAGGCGUAGUCGAUGGGAAACAGGUUAAUAUUCCUGUACUUGGUGUUACUGCGAAGGGGGGACGGAGAAGGCUAUGUUGGCCGGGCGACGGUUGUCCCGGUUAAGCGUGUAGGUGUGUGUUCCAGGUAAAUCCGGUUCACUUUAACACUGAGGCGUGACGACGAGGCACUACGGUGCUGAAGCAACAAAUGCCCUGCUUCCAGGAAAAGCCUCUAAGCAUCAGGUAACAUCAAAUCGUACCCCAAACCGACACAGGUGGUCAGGUAGAGAAUACCAAGGCGCUUGAGAGAACUCGGGUGAAGGAACUAGGCAAAAUGGUGCCGUAACUUCGGGAGAAGGCACGCUGACACGUAGGUGAAGUGAUUUACUCAUGGAGCUGAAGUCAGUCGAAGAUACCAGCUGGCUGCAACUGUUUAUUAAAAACACAGCACUGUGCAAACACGAAAGUGGACGUAUACGGUGUGACGCCUGCCCGGUGCCGGAAGGUUAAUUGAUGGGUCAGCGCAAGCGAAGCUCCUGAUCGAAGCCCCGGUAAACGGCGGCCGUAACUAUAACGGUCCUAAGGUAGCGAAAUUCCUUGUCGGGUAAGUUCCGACCUGCACGAAUGGCGUAAUGAUGGCCAGGCUGUCUCCACCCGAGACUCAGUGAAAUUGAACUCGCUGUGAAGAUGCAGUGUACCCGCGGCAAGACGGAAAGACCCCGUGAACCUUUACUAUAGCUUGACACUGAACAUUGAGCCUUGAUGUGUAGGAUAGGUGGGAGGCUUUGAAGCGUGGACGCCAGUCUGCGUGGAGCCGACCUUGAAAUACCACCCUUUAAUGUUUGAUGUUCUAACGUGGACCCGUAAUCCGGGUUGCGGACAGUGUCUGGUGGGUAGUUUGACUGGGGCGGUCUCCUCCUAAAGAGUAACGGAGGAGCACGAAGGUUGGCUAAUCCUGGUCGGACAUCAGGAGGUUAGUGCAAUGGCAUAAGCCAGCUUGACUGCGAGCGUGACGGCGCGAGCAGGUGCGAAAGCAGGUCAUAGUGAUCCGGUGGUUCUGAAUGGAAGGGCCAUCGCUCAACGGAUAAAAGGUACUCCGGGGAUAACAGGCUGAUACCGCCCAAGAGUUCAUAUCGACGGCGGUGUUUGGCACCUCGAUGUCGGCUCAUCACAUCCUGGGGCUGAAGUAGGUCCCAAGGGUAUGGCUGUUCGCCAUUUAAAGUGGUACGCGAGCUGGGUUUAGAACGUCGUGAGACAGUUCGGUCCCUAUCUGCCGUGGGCGCUGGAGAACUGAGGGGGGCUGCUCCUAGUACGAGAGGACCGGAGUGGACGCAUCACUGGUGUUCGGGUUGUCAUGCCAAUGGCACUGCCCGGUAGCUAAAUGCGGAAGAGAUAAGUGCUGAAAGCAUCUAAGCACGAAACUUGCCCCGAGAUGAGUUCUCCCUGAGACUUAGAGUCUCCUGAAGGAACGUUGAAGACGACGACGUUGAUAGGCCGGGUGUGUAAGCGCAGCGAUGCGUUGAGCUAACCGGUACUAAUGAACCGUGAGGCUUAACCUU
rnacentral:rRNA from 1 species